UACGUAGGUGGCAAGCGUUGUCCGGAAUUACUGGGCGUAAAGGGUGCGUAGGCGGUUCAUUAAGUGGGAUGUGAAAUACCCGGGCUUAACCUGGGAACUGCAUUCCAAACUGGUGAGCUAGAGUGCAGGAGAGGAAAGUGGAAUUCCUAGUGUAGCGAUGAAAUGCGUAGAUAUUAGGAGGAACACCAGUGGCGAGGGCGGCUUUCUGGACUGUAACUGACGCUGAGGCAUGAAAGUGUGGGGAGCAAAC
rnacentral:rRNA from 1 species